GAUGAACGCUGGCGGCGUGCCUAAUACAUGCAAGUCGAGCGAACGGACGAGAAGCUUGCUUCUCUGAUGUUAGCGGCGGACGGGUGAGUAACACGUGGAUAACCUACCUAUAAGACUGGGAUAACUUCGGGAAACCGGAGCUAAUACCGGAUAAUAUUUUGAACCGCAUGGUUCAAAAGUAAAAGACGGUCUUGCUGUCACUUAUAGAUGGAUCCGCGCUGCAUUAGCUAGUUGGUAAGGUAACGGCUUACCAAGGCAACGAUGCAUAGCCGACCUGAGAGGGUGAUCGGCCACACUGGAACUGAGACACGGUCCAGACUCCUACGGGAGGCAGCAGUAGGGAAUCUUCCGCAAUGGGCGAAAGCCUGACGGAGCAACGCCGCGUGAGUGAUGAAGGUCUUCGGAUCGUAAAACUCUGUUAUUAGGGAAGAAUAUAUGUGUAAGUAACUGUGCACAUCUUGACGGUACCUAAUCAGAAAGCCACGGCUAACUACGUGCCAGCAGCCGCGGUAAUACGUAGGUGGCAAGCGUUAUCCGGAAUUAUUGGGCGUAAAGCGCGCGUAGGCGGUUUUUUAAGUCUGAUGUGAAAGCCCACGGCUCAACCGUGGAGGGUCAUUGGAAACUGGAAAACUUGAGUGCAGAAGAGGAAAGUGGAAUUCCAUGUGUAGCGGUGAAAUGCGCAGAGAUAUGGAGGAACACCAGUGGCGAAGGCGACUUUCUGGUCUGUAACUGACGCUGAUGUGCGAAAGCGUGGGGAUCAAACAGGAUUAGAUACCCUGGUAGUCCACGCCGUAAACGAUGAGUGCAAAGUGUUAGGGGGUUUCCGCCCCUUAGUGCUGCAGCUAACGCAUUAAGCACUCCGCCUGGGGAGUACGACCGCAAGGUUGAAACCCAAAGGAAUUGACGGGGACCCGCACAAGCGGUGGAGCAUGUGGUUUAAUUCGAAGCAACGCGAAGAACCUUACCAAAUCUUGACAUCCUUUGACAACUCUAGAGAUAGAGCCUUCCCCUUCGGGGGACAAAGUGACAGGUGGUGCAUGGUUGUCGUCAGCUCGUGUCGUGAGAUGUUGGGUUAAGUCCCGCAACGAGCGCAACCCUUAAGCUUAGUUGCCAUCAUUAAGUUGGGCACUCUAAGUUGACUGCCGGUGACAAACCGGAGGAAGGUGGGGAUGACGUCAAAUCAUCAUGCCCCUUAUGAUUUGGGCUACACACGUGCUACAAUGGACAAUACAAAGGGCAGCGAAACCGCGAGGUCAAGCAAAUCCCAUAAAGUUGUUCUCAGUUCGGAUUGUAGUCUGCAACUCGACUACAUGAAGCUGGAAUCGCUAGUAAUCGUAGAUCAGCAUGCUACGGUGAAUACGUUCCCGGGUCU
rnacentral:rRNA from 1 species